AGUUUGGANNAUGGCUCAGGACGAACGCUGGCGGCGUGCUUAACACAUGCAAGUCGAACGAUGAACCACUUCGGUGGGGAUUAGUGGCGAACGGGUGAGUAACACGUGGGCAAUCUGCCCUUCACUCUGGGACAAGCCCUGGAAACGGGGUCUAAUACCGGAUGAUACUUCGUCUCGCAUGGGACGGGGUUGAAAGCUCCGGCGGUGAAGGAUGAGCCCGCGGCCUAUCAGCUUGUUGGUGAGGUAGUGGCUCACCAAGGCGACGACGGGUAGCCGGCCUGAGAGGGCGACCGGCCACACUGGGACUGAGACACGGCCCAGACUCCUACGGGAGGCAGCAGUGGGGAAUAUUGCACAAUGGGCGAAAGCCUGAUGCAGCGACGCCGCGUGAGGGAUGACGGCCUUCGGGUUGUAAACCUCUUUCAGCAG
rnacentral:rRNA from 2 species